AAACUGAAGAGUUUGAUCAUGGCUCAGAUUGAACGCUGGCGGCAUGCCUAACACAUGCAAGUCGAACGGAAACGAUGCUAGCUUGCUAGCAGGCGUCGAGUGGCGGACGGGUGAGUAAUGUA
rnacentral:rRNA from 1 species